GAUGAACGCUGGCGGCGUGCUUAACACAUGCAAGUCGAACGGAAAGGCCUCUGCUUGCAGGGGUACUCGAGUGGCGAACGGGUGAGUAACACGUGGGUGAUCUGCCCUGCACUUCGGGAUAAGCCUGGGAAACUGGGUCUAAUACCGGAUAGGACAAUGGUUUGGAUGCUGUUGUGGAAAGUUUUUCGGUGUGGGAUGAGCUCGCGGCCUAUCAGCUUGUUGGUGGGGUAAUGGCCUACCAAGGCGUCGACGGGUAGCCGGCCUGAGAGGGUGUACGGCCACAUUGGGACGGAGAUACGGCCCAGACUCCUACGGGAGGCAGCAGUGGGGAAUAUUGCACAAUGGGCGCAAGCCUGAUGCAGCGACGCCGCGUGGGGGAUGACGGCCUUCGGGUUGUAAACUCCUUUCGCUAGGGACGAGGCGUUUUUGUGACGGUACCUGGAGAAGAAGCACCGGCUAACUACGUG
rnacentral:rRNA from 1 species